rnacentral:rRNA from 1 species
UACAGAGGGUGCGAGCGUUAAUCGGAAUUACUGGGCGUAAAGCGUGCGUAGACGGCUAUCUAAGUCGGGUGUGAAAGCCCCGGGCUCAACCUGGGAAUUGCAUUCGAGACUGAAUAGCUAGGGUACGGUAGAGGGAAGCGGAAUUUCCGGUGUAGCGGUGAAAUGCGUAGAUAUCGGGAGGAACACCAGUGGCGAAAGCGGCUACCUGGCCCACUCUUGACGCUGAGGCGCGAAAGCUAGGGGAGCAAACGGG